rnacentral:rRNA from 1 species
UACAGAGGUCCCGAGCGUUGUUCGGAUUCAUUGGGCGUAAAGGGCGCGUAGGCGGCUUGGCAAGUGGAUGGUGAAAUCCCUCGGCUUAACCGAGGAACUGCCGUCCAAACUGCUUUGCUUGAGACCGGGAGAGGUGAGUGGAAUUCCCAGUGUAGCGGUGAAAUGCGUAGAUAUUGGGAGGAACACCAGUGGCGAAGGCGGCUCACUGGACCGGUACUGACGCUGAUGCGCGAAAGCGUGGGGAGCAAACGGG